AACUUUUGCUAUAUUGAAGAUAGCAUCUUCAUAUUUGGCAGGCAUGUGUAUCUCGUGAAGCUGCACAUUUUGAGUGGUGAAAGGUCAAGGUCAUCGUUCAAGGUCAAAGGUAAAAAAAACUAAAUCAAAGCGGCGCAGAAGGGGACAUAGUGUUUCUGACAAACACAUUUCUUGUUUUAAACUUUUCCCACUUAGAAGCAAGUGAAAAUAGCUAUGUGCAAACAGCAGUAACUUGCAGUCUGUUCAGGUUUUAUGCUGUUUGCUGCUCAUCAGUAUCUAAUGGUAUCUUACUUGAAUCCAGUAAGAAAGGUUUUAACCUUUUUCCACUUUGAUACGUAUUUUGACACAUUUGUAGGCCCAUAGAAAGUUAAAUUUUAUAAAAUACCUUUCUUACUAGAUUCAAGUUUUAAAGGCUUAAUUUUCAACCCUAAGAUACUGAUGAGCAGCAAACAGCAUAAAACUUGAACAAACUGCGAAAUACUCGCAGGCUGUUCUGGUUUUAUGCUGUUUUCACGUUGCUUCAUAUGGGGGAAAGGGUUAAAUUAAAUAUAACUUUCAAAGGAAAUUCGAAUGGGUGAAAAAACAUAUCUAAGUGGUUAAAGUUUAAAUCCACAAAGAGGGGUUAUGUUUUAGUCUCUCUGUCAGUUUGUCUGUCUCUGUGUGUCUGCAUAAGUUCAAGGAACAAACUAUUUUUUCCAGCUAUUAAAUUAAAACUUUUAAUGUGUUAUCACCAUGAAGUGUAGAUGUUAAAGACAGUUUUUAUGACUAAUUAUCCACACAUUCAAGAGGUAUGUGUGCUCGAACAUAGCUCUCAUAGGACUGAGGUGGCAAAUAGUAAGCUUUGUGACACAGCCAUAGCUCUCAUAGGACUGAGGUGGCAAAUAGUAAGCUUUGUGACACAGCCAUAGCUCUCAUAGGACUGAGGUGGCAAAUAGUAAGCUUUGUGACACAGCCAUAGCUCUCAUAGGACUGAGGUGGCAAAUAGUAAGCUUUAUGACACAGCCAUAGCUCUCAUAGGACUGAGGUGGCAAAUAGUAAGCUUUGUGACACAGCCAUAGCUCUCAUAGGACUGAGGUGGCAAAUAGUAAGCUUUGUGACACAGCCAUAGCUCUCAUAGGACUGAGGUGGCAAAUAGUAAGCUUUGUGACACAGCCAUAGCUCUCAUAGGACUGAGGUGGCAAAUAGUAAGCUUUGUGACACAGCCAUAGCUCUCAUAGGACUGAGGUGGCAAAUAGUAAGCUUUGUGACACAGCCAUAGCUCUCAUAGGACCGAGAUGGCAAAUAGUAAGCUUUGUGACACAGCCAUAGCUCUCAUAGGACUGAGGUAGCAAAUAGUAAGCUUUGUGACACACCUAUAAUUGUUAACUCAUUGCUUGUUAGUUGAUCCUUAAAUUCAAAUAAGUUUAUUUUAAUUAAGUUUAUGCGUCAUAAUUUGUUUUGUCUUUUGGUAGUAGAUAAAUUGAUGCUGUACUUUUUAAUUUUUUAAUUGUAUUGGUUAAGGUCAAAAU